UAUUGGGUUGGCGAAAAAGUUUCUUCAGGUUUUUCCAUCACAGUGUAUAGAAAAACCUGAACGAACUUUUUGGCCAACCCAAUAUA
rnacentral:miRNA from 1 species